rnacentral:rRNA from 1 species
CCUACGGGAGGCUGCAGUCGAGAAUUAUUCACAAUGGGGGAAACCCUGAUGGUGCGACGCCGCGUGGGGGAAUGAAGGUCUUCGGAUUGUAAGCCCCUGUCAUGUGGGAGCAAAUUAAAAAGAUAGUACCACAAGUGGAAGAGACGGCUAACUCUGUGACAGCCGCCGCGGUAAUACAGAGGUCUCAAGCGUUUUUCGGAAUCACUGGGCGUAAAGCGUGCGUUGGCGGUUUCGUAAGUCGGGUGUGAAAGGCACGGGCUCAACCCACGGACGGCACAUGAUACUGGGGGACUAGAGUGAUGGAGAGGGAACCGGAAUUCUCGGUGUAGCAGUGAAAUGCGUAGAUAUCGGGAGGAACACUAGUGGCGAAGGCGGGUUCCUGGACAUUAACUGACGCUGAGGCACGAAGGCCAGGGGAGCGAAAGGGAUUAGAUACCCCAGUAGUC